UGGUGAGGAGUGAAAGGAGACCCCGACUACCCAACUUCUCAUCUCUAUGGUCUUGGAAAAACCAAGAGAGAGAUGAACAAGGGAUGAAAACAUACUCCACAUGGACUCAAUAAAUCUUGGGUGAAAUGAUGCUGUCUGACGAGGUAAAUAAAAAAUGGAGCACUCAAGCACAAGCACUGGGGAUGAGAUGAGGACACACCAAUUACCAGGACUUCUGCCUGCUUUUCUUUGUCGACAUAAAACAUCAAGGGGCAUAUGCUUCAUUUGGGGAGACAGAUACUGAUUAAAUAAGUGCCACGAAGGAAGAAGAAAGGACUCCUA